UAGUGCGGCGAGCGAAGCGGGAAGAGCUCAAAUUUAUAAUCUGGCACCUUCGGUGUCCGAGUUGUAAUCUCUAGAAGUGUUUUCCGCGUUGGACCGCACACAAGUCUGUUGGAAUACAGCGGCAUAGUGGUGAAACCCCCGUAUAUGGUGCGGACGCCCAGCGCUUUGUGAUACACUUUCAAUGAGUCGAGUUGUUUGGGAAUGCAGCUCAAAUUGGGUGGUAAAUUCCAUCUAAAGCUAAAUAUUGGCGAGAGACCGAUAGCGAACAAGUACCGUGAGGGAAAGAUGAAAAGCACUUUGGAAAGAGAGUUAACAGUACGUGAAAUUGUUGGAAGGGAAACGCUUGAAGUCAGACUUGCUUGCCGGAGCUUGCUUCGGUUUGCAGGCCAGCAUCAGUUUUCCGGGGUGGAUAAUGACGGUUUGAAGGUAGCAGUCUCGGCUGUGUUAUAGCUUUCCGUUGGAUACAUCCUGGGGGACUGAGGAACGCAGCGUGCUUUUUGCGAAAGACUCGUCUUUUUCACGCUUAGGAUGCUGGUGGAAUGGCUUUAAACGACCCGCUA
rnacentral:rRNA from 1 species